rnacentral:snoRNA from 1 species
GGGAAUAUAAUACUAAAUACUCUGUUAUAUAGAACUUUCUACGCCUUUUCCUCUAUGGCUAUGAAAGCGUGGACAACGGAGAUCAAAUAGACCAAUUACUGAAUAUGGCUUUUGACAUAUCUUCUUCUUCAUGGGUGAGGAUUAAGCUGAUAUCCUGACCCACCUAUCAUUAGUCCUUCAGACAUAC